AUAAAAAUGAAUGUCAUACCGUAGACCGUAGGGGUGUUUAGCACUUAAUUUCCUACCGAGGUAAGCAAUAGAUACAGGAACUCUUUACUGUGUUUGUAUGCCCUCAUGUCUACAUGGGGGCUUUAUAUAUGCUUCU
rfam:Bacillus okhensis strain Kh10-101 contig25, whole genome shotgun sequence.